CACACACCUCAGUCUCUCACAUUGUUCGAUCUAGUAGUCAGUGCAUGGAACUUCUCCGGUAUUCUGUUAUUAGCUUUGACUCUCCAAACCAAGCUUUCUCCUAACCUCCUUGAUUACCUGAUCCUCCAAGACUCCUGUGUUUCCCCAGCAAUUCUCCAACGACUCCUCUUCCAAGUCCUCCUCUCCUUCAUCUCUCCCAAGGAGCUGGAAAAGGUUUGGUUGUGUGACACUGAUCUGAGAUCAACUCUCUGAACAGAGAUCCAGUGACACACAGGACUCCGAGCUCAGCCUCGCUUUCUCCUGAGCGUCAGUGGAGCAGAGCAGAGUGUGUGACAGUCACCAAACCUCCACCGAGUCUCUGGGUUCAGACUGUAACGCUGGAGAACAGCAGACGCCACUGAAGAUGUGCUCAGACACACUGCUGGACUACAGGAAGACGAAGAGAGAAACCACAGCUGAGGAACAACAGAGCCAUGAUGAGGAUUUCAAUCCUUCAGAGUUGCAGAAGUCCGAAAGCACCACUGAUGUACUCUGCUCGGGGUCAGACAGACUCGUCGUCUCAAUCUCACAUCAUUAACGCUUCAGGACCCUGAUGAGUAUUGACUUACAUGGCUCUAUGAGAGCGCUUUGGACUUCAGAUCGGUGUCACAGUACUCUGUAAACCAGGGCUCGUUCUCAUGUGCUGACAGGCCUUUCUCAGCCGAUGAUCAGCAGCUGAUUGGACGGCUGCGGUGUGUCCUCAGAGUCUGUUGGAGAAGGGAUCUGUACGGAAAGCUGAAUGUUCUCUGACUGGAUGUUCUGGGAAAGAGACGGAUCCCUCUUUACUGGAAAACAGUCCAUGAUCUGCUUCCCAGAGUCUCCAGGGUGAAUGUUCCUCGAGUGUUUAACGUGUUUCUCUCAUCUGUCUGCGAGCAGAUGUCCUGCUUCUGGAAGAACAGAAAGAUGAAUUGAUUCGCCUUCAUCCGGGCAGGUAAAACAAUCAAAAAUCUCCUCUCAGAGACCCCACGAUAUCCAGAGACCUUCAGCCGUCGCUGCAGACUGUAACAGAGAAACACAUUCAUUACUGAGAGAAGCAGCUCAUCUGUCCUUCUUCCUCUGGUCAUCUUCUUUUAUAAUGCACCAGUUUUCCUUGAGGUCUGGUAAAUAAGUGUUUCACAAAUGUACUUCGUUGUUUUUAAUCAGUUAUGUAUGUUUUAUCACACAACUUCAGUAAAAAUCACAGAGCAAAUACUGGUUUUCAUUUAAUUCAGGAAAGUUUGAAAAAAAAACAAAAAAACAUAACCUAAUCUAGUCUGUGGUUAUGUACUGUAAGUGUGCAUUCAUUUAUUCAUUUAUAUACCAUUUUUUAUUUCAGAAUAAAAUGUUUUAAACAGC